CGAGCGCAUCCUCUACGCAGCACACGGCGUGUGCACGUAACUGUUGUUGUGCAGCCGCACCGUAAUUGCCAGACAGAAACGAACAGAGACACAGUAACGCCAACCAAACGAACUACACACACGAUAUACGAUAUACGAUACGCGUGGAGUGACGGGACAACCUCCACUCUUCUUAGCAGACACACUCCCCUUAUUUCCUGCAGGAAUGAACCCCAAUCAGCCGCCGAGGCGCAAGGCCGCCUUUAAUGAGGAGUUCGAUGUGAUGCAGGCCAUUCAAGAGGACCGCAUGGCCUACCACGCCAGCAUCGCGUGCCACGAGCGGUGCGUGCACAACUACUUCUUCAAUAACUUCUACUGGCGAGAGAAGACGUGCAUGGAAAAUUGCCUAGAUAAGAUCAACCAGGCGACUGUCAUCACGAACAUCAACUACGGCAAGUUCGAAGACGUCGAGUCGAAGAAGUGACGCUGGUGAACGAUGAACGAAGAGGGAGAGGACGAGGCGAAGGGCGGCCGGCUCAUCGUGCGUCAUUCCAUGUGUGCGUGCGCGUGUGACCCCGAAAGGUGGUUAGGGACUUUGUCAGAUUACCCCGUGCUCCGCUUCUUCCUCCACGCCGUUGUGUGUCUCUUGCUUCGCAUCGGCAUAGACACGUGCCAUGAAGCACGCACGGCAUCUGAUCGCUGCCUUCCCAUCUGCCUGGCAUGCACCCCUCUGCAGGUGCUGACGAGCGUAUUCUUCUCUGUUGGGUUGUGCGCGCGAUGGGAUGUGCUGACGAGAGGGCGAGGAGCAUGACACCCAGCAGCGCCGCAGCGCUCACGUCGCUUUCCACAUGUCUGUUAGGCCUCCCCGUCCCUCUCGCACACACUUCUACGCCCACACCCACCCUCUCUCCCCCUAUCACUCGCUGAUUCAAUGUCGCCUAUCUGCCACGACGCCUAACGGGGCCGUAAAGAAGGCAAAAAAAAAUAA
rnacentral:misc_RNA from 1 species